rnacentral:lncRNA from 1 species
GAGGAGUCAUUAAACUUCUUGUCACCAAAGGUGAAUGCCAUUGACAUGGGGGAGGGGGAGUGUAUCCAUUGGAGUGGCCUAUUAAAAUAAUCAUUGAAAGUUAGUUGAUAAGUUGUAGAGAAGCCAUGUAGAAAGAUGAGCUUUGCGUUUAGCACUUGCAAAACAUGUUUUCUUGAAGUAUUAUAAGAUAUUUGAAAAUGAAUCAUGAAAAAAGGAAAACCACAAACACAUGAGCAAUGGCUCGUCUAAUCAAAAUGUAGAGGUAGCUGAUUUGAAACAGUUGCAACAAAACCAAUGAAAUAAAAUGCAACUAUAUACAUUUGUAUAAUUAAAUCAAGAUUUAGCAUGAUUUUAUUGGUGGGAUCCUUUAAGAAAAUUAGGAAAUUUUACAAAGAAGAAAAGCUAAAGAGAUAAAAACACAAAACCUUUUUGUGAUCAUCAUUUCUUUUUUCUUUUUUUCUACUUUUACUUUUUCGCACUUUUCUGCAUGUUAUUCUUUAUAGUCGAACAAGAUUUGAGCUAAUGGAGAGGGUGAUUGAACGUGGGAAACUUUUACGAAUCAAACGGAACACAUGGAAGUUAUCUUUUUAUUUAAUUUAAUUCACGUUAAAUUAAUAUUUGAACUCAUUCAAAUGUUGUAUUACUUCAUAUAUCAAUUUUGAAUCAAAUUUAUAUUUUAAACUCUACUAUAAUUUUGGCUUUUUUAUGGCCAAAAUGUUUGUGAGGCCCUGAUCCAAAAGGGAAUCCUGUUGAAGAUGAGCUCCACUAAGGAGGCUAAGUUUGACUAAGUAUAGAAGAGAGACGUCCCGUGAGGAGGGAUACAAAUGGAGAAAGGAAAAUGAGAAAAUAAGUGUGUAAGCCCAAAUGCUAUCGCGUUAAAGAAAGCGACACGAUGAGCUUUAGUUGGCAAGGGAAAAACAUGUGAGAAAAGCUAAAGGUUAGGCGAUGGACACAUGGAUGCAGGAAGAAAUGCUUGCACCUAAGUCUAGUCACGAUAAAUUAAGUAGAUGUAUUGUUGAAAAGACAGAUGUUUGAAUAAGUGAUGGGACAACUCACUGAGGCAAAGUUAAUGUUUUGUGGCUUUUCAAGAAGAGAGUUUGACAACGAGAAGUUUAACUUUUCAAGGAGAUAAGGUUAGUGUCUUAAGGAGGUGUACGUGUCGAGUUUGAGUUGGCUACGUAGCAUGGAAAAAUGAGAAAGUGACAUGUGUAAAGCAUGGAAAUAACCCAUGGACGUAAAAGGUCACUAUAAAUAGGACCAAAAACUGAAAGAAAAAAUGGUAUAAGAGAUUUAUCAUUUUGAUAAUUCAUCAAAAGUGAGUCCCAAGAGUUGAACUGCGAAGAGAAAGCUGAAAGCAAUGAGGAAGGAGUGGAGCCUUUAAUGUUGUGAGUGAUCGUUUAAAUAAAUAGUUAUGAGUGAUUUUUAUAAACAAAUGAUUGAUUUUGAACAAUCUUUUUAAAUAAAAUUACUAUUGUGACUGAUUCUCACUCACCUACUUGUUUUGCGGUAAAUGGUUUUCAAAUGAACGAUGAAUAUCCUGAUGGAAAUGGUAGACAUGCGUAGCAGAAUAAAGAUCGAAUUUUACUCUAAUUGCAACUAAACAUUUUAGUGAUUAACAUGCAUUACAACUCUAAAAUGAAACAAGAAUAGGGUUAAUAGAAAAAAUCACCUUUGAUGCUUUCUAUUGUCGUAAUCUCGUCACGUAUUUGAAGUCGGGACUACUAAUAGCGUUGACCUGCUAUUCUCCAGAAUUAGAACCGAGUUACGAGACUCAAAUGGUGGAGAAACUAAAGAGAGUGGUGGAUUUAGGAGGAAUAAGUUAGCUUCGAGAUUAUGUGGGGAGAAGGAAUUUUUGGUUUGAUUUUGCAAUUCCAAAUUAUAAAAUCAAUUUCACCCAAAAACAAAACAAAACUUUCAUUUGCAAUAAUCCUCUCCUUUUAUAAGCAAACCACAUGCAAAAUUGUAUGUAGUGA